rnacentral:rRNA from 1 species
AUACAGAGGGUGCAAGCGUUAAUCGGAAUUACUGGGCGUAAAGCGCGCGUAGGCGGCUUGAUAAGUCGGAUGUGAAAUCCCUGGGCUCAACCUGGGAACUGCAUUCGAAACUGUCUGACUAGAGUAUGGUAGAGGGUGGUGGAAUUCCUAGUGUAGCGGUGAAAUGCGUAGAUAUUAGGAGGAACAUCAGUGGCGAAGGCGACCACCUGGACCAAUACUGACGCUGAGGUGCGAAAGCGUGGGGAGCAAACAGGAUUAGAUACCCUAGUAGUCC